GGGAGGGGCAGGGGCACCUGGCCGCUCGAGCGCGAUGCCUCCUGCCUUAAAAGAGGUGUGAGGGCCUCGUGCUUCACACACCGCCUGGAGACGGGACACGAGCCCACGGAGCCCCGGUUCCUUCCCGGCGGGUGGGUUACCUAGUGGCCAGGGGCUGACUCUCUUCCAAGUCAAAGAUGGGCUCUUCUCUUUGGCCUGAAGAAAACAAAUGGGAGCCUAGCGUUUGGGGGCCUCUGGACUGGUGAAGCCUGAAGAGGAGAAAAGGUGCUGCUGAUGGGCCUCCAGAAGACGCUCAAAAACUACACGUCAACUGUGGUCCCAAGGACAGUCAUUCUAGCGUUACCACAAUGUGGAUGUCACAAGACAGCACAUGGACAGCUCGUGUAAAUUUAGGUCAAUCCCAACCAACACGUUGUCUCAACAUCUUUGAACCCACCUUUUGGAGUAGACUGUAUCUAAGAGUAUGUCAUUGGCGAAACAUACUGAAGAGUAAGGAACACCAUCAUGAAGGAUUAACCAAGCCUGUUUUCCUAAGAAAAUGGCAAAUGGAUUCAUGAUUUGAGUGGCUCCUGGCUAUGGGAAAAAGAAAAGGAGCAAACACAUUCAUCCCACAAUGCUGAGUGGUCAGAAGAAAGGGCAAGCAAGAUGCAGAAGCUCAGCUGACCCUCCAGCUGAAGAAGCUGCAUGGAUGAGCCCAGGUGAAACCCGCAGAGCCACCAGCCAAGCCACAGACUUGAGAGAAAUAAUACUUGUUUUAAGUCACUAAACUUUAACAUAAUUUGUUAUAUAAUAAUAGAAACUGAAACUGUUUUCUGUUUCCAUUUUCAUUUUAUGUUGAGGGAAGUAAAGCCAGAAAAGGUACAAUAUAUUAUGCUAGGUGACACAGGAAUUAAAUGACAGUCAGGAUUUUAAUCCAGGUCUAACCUCGAAGCCUCCCUACUUUAUGCUGCUUAGUGAAAGUUGAAAUCAUAAAGUGUCUCAUUCAUUUAUAAUCAUUAUAUACACACACACACACGUGUGCACAUAAAUAUAAAAAGACCACUUAUUUAGUCCGAAAAUACAAAUAGGUUCACUUAAAGCUGAAGGUCCAGUAAAAUUAAUUUUGUUUAAUUAGUCCAUUUCUAACAAAGGUUCAAAGAUUUAUGCUGAUUUUUCCUUGGUGAAAAAUAUCCAAAAUAAAAUACUUGAAUCAUGGGAAAAAUUGUACAUAAGGAGCUAUCUGGGAGUCCAUAUUGGAAGUUUACUAUCUGAUCCCAGAAAUCCCAAGGGAGCAUGGUAAUGUAAUUCAAAUGCCCGUCAAAAACAAAUUUCCAAUAGUUACACUAAAAACUAUAGAAACCGCAGCAUGUGUAUAUACCUGAUUAUUUUUCUUUUCAAAUCCCAGCCGUAUACACCUCCAUUUCCUUUGUAGCGAGUUCCAGAGACAAUGUCAAAAUUACCCUCCUUCUGCUUCCUGUUGAAAAAAAAUAAAUUAGCUGUCAAUUAGAAAAAGCUAUUGACCUUUCAAUAGUUAUUUUCUUGAGCUACACAAGAAGAACUUUUAAGAUUCGCCAAGAAAAACAAUGUCAAGAAAACAGAUGAACUAUAUCACCGAGAAAUCUUUCAAAGUAAGAUUUUCAAACCUGUUUUCCUUUAUUAAUUCCUAAAACUAAAAAAUAGUUGUAUUUGCUGAUUGCACCAUGUGAAACCAUCCUAAAACGUAAUCCCCCUCCAUUCUGUUCUUGGCCCCAUUAAACAGUGCUAAAACAGCCUGGUAACUCGCCAUACCUUUCCCCUUCCAGAGAAAUGAAGACACAUAUAAACCCCAGGGAUUCUGGAUGUUUAACAAAACUGGAACCCCAAAAGGUACAUUCUGCCCUUUGUCAGUUAACAAUAUACAUAAUGGAAUCAUGGAUAUCCUAUAGGUCCACAAAGACAUUCUUUCUAAUAGCUGCAAAAAUAGCCCAGAGAACACUGGACCCAUAUACUUGUAUGGUUGUUUUCAUGGUGGGUCUUCUCACCCCCCAACACCACAACCACAAUGAAUAGCGUGUGGCAACAUUCUUACAAAUAUUUAUCCUCGUGCUUAUACAACCCAAAGUGGAAACAAAUGUUCCAAGUAUUUUGAAUAGUUAUCACCAGAAAUUACUUUCCAAAAAGGUUGUAGCAACUCAUGCUUCCUCCAGCAAUAGUUGUGUGUGUCCAUUUCCUGCCAUUUUAUCUGUGCUAGAUGCGCUGCUCUUUAAGUUUGUAAUUGUGAUAAACUAACAGGUAAUAAAAUACAGCCACAGUUAUCUCGCUUCGUGUUUCCCUGACAACAUCCCAGGGUGUCUUCCCUCAGGUUUAUUAGCCAUUGGUCUUUCUUCUACAUAUGGCCUCUUUGUAUCUUCCACACAUUUUCUAUUCCCCUGGUUCCAUUUCCUUGUCAGGUCAAAGGGGCUCUUGGGAAUUUAGAUUAUACAGGCAGAGAAGAUGUCUCUGAGGUGACUUUAUGCAGAGAUCAAAGGAUGAGAAGUAGCUGGCUAUUAAGGAGCAGGGUAAGGGCAUUUUAUUUAUUUAUUACUUUUAAAAUAUUUAUUUAUUUGUUCA